AUUGACACAAUCACGAAGAUUUACCGGUUUACAGUGGACUGGUUUGGGUUGGCAGCAAUGCUCUGAAAUGGUGCCCUAAAUCAAAAUGAGAUAAAAAUUCGUUGUCCAAUACGAUAAACAAAUAAAACCACAACUAUUAUUUAUGCUCUCUCUCGCUUGUAAAGAUGACGUAAUAUAUAUUUUCCCUAACCAAGUUGUGCAAGAGAGUGAAGGGACGUGACGUCAUGCUGCAAAUUAGCAUAUUGCGGAGUAUAAUACACUUUGAUUGACCAGCCCGCCUUUACUUGUGUUCGGCGCCAUCUGGAUUGAGAUUCAUCUGUAUCCAAUACACCUCCGAUCCUCUGCAAAGAUGUCUGACAAGCCAGAUCUUGCGGAAGUCUCCAACUUUGACAAGACCAAGUUGAAGAAGACCGAAACGCAGGAGAAAAACCCCUUGCCCACCAAAGAAACCAUUGAACAGGAGAAGCAAGCAACAGCAUGAAGCCCAAGCCUCCACUAUGCACUGUACAUUCCACGAGCAUUGCCUUUAUUUUCAUCUCCUUUUAGCUGUAUAACUGUAAUCAACACCUAAGUUGCAUUGUAAUUGGACAAAAGCAGAAGCCUGUACAGCCUCCUCCCUAGAACAACCCCCUCCCUCCCUCCCUUUUACAUAAAGUCUGAAAGGAAACAACUACUGACUGGCAGUCUGACUAGGAGGAUGUGUUGCUCGUCCCGACUCACUUCAGCGCUCUGUCACCUGUCCCUGCAUCCAGCCACUUGUGGUUGUGAUGGAUCAGCCCAACCAGGGACCCACACUUUUGACAGUCAGUGUAGUUCAGCUUCUGGCCACCUGUGAAAUGCUUUCAAAUCAAGCAGUGUUUUGUUUUUGUUACUUGUUCAAUUGUUUUGUAUAAGUUCAAUUCUUGGAAUGCACAAGUUUGUUUUGAUAUGCAAUUAAAAAAAAUGUAACUGUU